rnacentral:rRNA from 1 species
GAUGAACGCUGGCGGCGUGCCUAAUACAUGCAAGUCGAGCGAACGGACGAGAAGCUUGCUUCUCUGAUGUUAGCGGCGGACGGGUGAGUAACACGUGGAUAACCUACCUAUAAGACUGGGAUAACUUCGGGAAACCGGAGCUAAUACCGGAUAAUAUUUUGAACCGCAUGGUUCAAAAGUGAAAGACGGUCUUGCUGUCACUUAUAGAUGGAUCCGCGCUGCAUUAGCUAGUUGGUAAGGUAACGGCUUACCAAGGCAACGAUGCAUAGCCGACCUGAGAGGGUGGUCGGCCACACUGGAAGUGAGACACGGUCCAGACUCCUACGGGAGGCAGCAGUAGGGAAUCUUCCGCAAUGGGCGAAAGCCUGACGGAGCAACGCCGCGUGAGUGAUGAAGGUCUUCGGAUCGUAAAACUCUGUUAGUAGGGAAGAACAUAUGUGUAAGUAGCUGUGCACAUCUUGACGGUACCUAAUCAGAAAGCCACGGCUAACUACGUG